rnacentral:rRNA from 1 species
AGCGAACGCUGGCGGCAGGCCUAACACAUGCAAGUCGAACGAACCUUUCGGGGUUAGUGGCGGACGGGUGAGUAACACGUGGGAACGUGCCUUUAGGUUCGGAAUAACUCAGGGAAACUUGUGCUAAUACCGAAUGUGCCCUUCGGGGGAAAGAUUUAUCGCCUUUAGAGCGGCCCGCGUCUGAUUAGCUAGUUGGUUGAGGUAAUGGCUCACCAAGGCGACGAUCAGUAGCUGGUCUGAGAGGAUGAUCAGCCACAUGGGGACUGAGACACGGCCCAGACGGGUAAGGGAGGCAGCAGGCGGGGAGAUAGAAAAAUGGGAGGAAGGAUUAUGGAGCAACGCCGCGUGCGGGAGAACGGACUUCGGGGGGUAAACCGAUGGCGCCGGUGAAGUGGCGGGAGGGACGGGAAUGGGUAAAGAAGCCCAGGCUAACUACGUG